rnacentral:pre_miRNA from 1 species
CCAAGAGAAAGCAUGAAGCUGCCAGCAUGAUCUAACUUGCAGAGAAGGGCCUUGGCCGUCCAUGGCGCCGGCCAUUGGUGAUGAACUGAUGAUGCACAAGUGAGCAGCUGGAUAGGCUGAGCUGAUGGGCUUUCUUCUUCUGUCUUUGAUGGUUAGAUCAUGCUGUGACAGUUUCACUCUUUCCCUGU